rnacentral:rRNA from 1 species
GAUGAACGCUAGCGGCAGGCUUAAUACAUGCAAGUCGAGGGGCAGCACGGGUAGCAAUACCUGGUGGCGACCGGCAAACGGGUGCGGAACACGUACGCAACUUUCCUCUGAGCGGGGAAUAGCCCGGGGAAACCCGGAUUAAUACCCCAUAAUAUAAUCGGUAAGCAUUUGCUGAUUAUUAAAGAUUUAUCACUCAGAGAUGGGCGUGCGCCUGAUUAGGUAGUUGGCGGGGUAACGCCCACCAAGCCUGCGAUCAGUAGCUGAUGUGAGAGCAUGAUCAGCCACACGGGCACUGAGACACGGGCCCGACUCCUACGGGAGCAGCAGUAAGGAAUAUUGGUCAAUGGACGAAAGUCUGAACCAGCCAUGCCGCGUGGAGGAUGAAGGU